UUGCGUUCUACGUUAUUUGGAAAUAAAAGAGUUUAUUAAAUUACCUUUGUUUAUUUCUGUCAAAAAAAAAAUUUUUUCUCAUCGUUACAUGGCCUCAGUACACAAUUUUACAAAUGAAUUUAGUCAGACAACUUCGUUACUUGCACAGUUUUUUGUGUUUUCUUAUACAAAUUUUUACGAUGUCUUUGAAUUUUGAUAGGAUGAGGUCCAAAUACAUACCACAACACCAUACAUCUUGCCGUUGACGGUCGAGGAGUCUUGUCACUAGCCAAAAAAAAUAUAUACUUUAGUAAUGUCCAUUGGUUAACUACAUAACUCAAGGUACCGUCGAUCGCGGAUCGUAAUCACACGAAGUUGGGCCGAUGCCGACGCCUAGGGCUUAAAUUUCUAAUUAAUUAUCCAAAAAAAAAAAGAACUCAAGUUAAAAAAAUACGGUCUGGCCCCAGCCCCUAGGCGUUAAAUUGUCCCUUAGUGACUUUCCAUUCUGUGUCGUGACAUGCCGACGACGCGACCGAGUUCGGCGACGAUCGAGCAACAAGUGACUUGGUCGACGAGAUUACCUUCCCUUGUAAAGGUGAAAACAAGAGAGGAAACCCCGUGGGCCAACUUACCAAUCAGAGUACAGAAUUCAGAAACAUGACCAUAUAUUGUAAGGAAAUUCGGACAUGCGCAUCACUCCAUGACAGGGCUCGCCCUGAUUGGCUGGCUAGUGGUAGCCUCCAGAGACCCUUCCAGACGGUCGCUACAGCUGUGCGUCCAUGUGACGCGUAAAUCCCAAACUCGCAUUUACAAGGUGAAAAAUUACUUUCUGGCGCCAGGGUGUCGCGCCUGUCCGCUCUUCCUUCUGUACCUUUCAGACUAUUCUCGAAAUAUUACACUAGCAAUAUCCAAUAGAAUUUAAAAUUACCCAACAAAUUUAAAUACAAUGUUUAAAAUUUAGUAAUCAAAGUUGAAAUUCAUACCGUAUUACAAAUUUUAGUUUAAAAUGAUGUCUUGUAAAAUUAUAGUCUACACUGCUUUAAACAAAACAAUUACUGAAAUUAAUUAUCAAAUAUCAGAAUUAAUUAUUAUGAACUGACAUUUACCCUUAAAUUAAUAAUUAAGUAUCUCAAGGAAAUAAGUAUUUUAAGGCUUUCCGUGAAAUUUAACCAAAGUAAUUAAUAACAAUUCUUAACAGAUCCGAACAAUUAUCCUUAUCUACAUAUUAAAUAAUUAUUAUCCUUCAUAUCAAAGUUAUUCUUAAUCAAUAUUCUUAUGACCCAAAAAAAUAUAUGUAUAUAAUAAAUUCUCAUUGUGCAAUGCUACAAGCUGCGCUCUUGCUGCAUUGUUAGUUGCCUGUCUACCAAUGUUAGGUAAGACAUUAGUGACCCUUUCUUGCCAUUCUCGUUCAUCAGCAAGUGCAUGCUGUUCUUCUUCGUUACGAAUGAACACUCGAGGCAUAUACCUGCACAGAGAAAACAAUCUUGCUUAGAAUUAUUUGAAAUAAUUUUUGCAACAAUUAAUUUUUCGAAAGAAGGUAUCAUGGAAUACAUUAGCUUAUUUUUCAGUUAUACUAACCUCUCUGGGUUUGUCUUCAUAAUGAAGUUAUGGAGUACUGUGGUUGCUUGUACUAUCUUGGUCACAGUGCACACAGACCCUCGAAUGGCUUGAUUGUAAAUUUUCCAACGACUAGUUAAGAUUCCGAAUGCAUUUUCCACCAUUCUGCGGGCCCUACUCAGACGAUAAUUGAAUAUUUUUUCAGAUAUGGUUUUAAUAUCACUUCCUUGAGAGGAAAUGCAGCAUCAGCUACAAAUGCAAACGGAAGUGAAACAUUAGUACCUGGCAAUGCUUGGGGCUGUGGGAAAUCAAUACCAUUUUGCAGGACUAAUUUUCCAAAUGUUAAAUUGGCAAAUAUACUACCAUCACUGUGGUGUCCGUAGUCCCCAAUGUCAACCCAUAUAAAUUCAUAGUUGGCAUUAACUGCUGCCAUGAGAACAAUUGAAAAGUACUUUUUGUAAUUAAAGUACAGGGACCCGGAUUUCGGUGGUGCAUGACAGCGCACAUGCUUUCCAUCAAUCGCCCCAAGACAAUUUGGAAAGUUCCAAUACUCCAAUCACUCUGUAAUGGCUCUGUCAUUACUUCUGGCCCUAAUACUGUCCAAAGAACAUUACAAACCUCCGGGAUUAUUUUUUGCACAGUUGAAACACCAACACGAAAGUCCCAUGCAAUAGACUGGCAAGUGCCACCAUGGGCCAGAUAUUUUAGUGUCAGUGCCAGCUUCAUGGGAGGAGACAAGGGCGUGUGCCUGGUGUUCUUUUUUGUCAAGGAAGGGGUUACUAAUUUUAGCAGCUUUUCAAACUGGCACCACUUCAUUCGCGUAAAUUUAAAAAACUGUUCGUGAUCUUCAUUACUAAGGUAUGUAAACAACUGUUGAAAACAACCUUUUUCCUGACGACAUUUGUUUAGAGGACGCACCCACCACCGACACCGUCGUUCAUUACGAACAUUUUGAUCAAUAUAGCACGAAAUUAUUUCCAACAAAUGUAAACAAUGUAGAAGUGAAUCGAGUAUCAAAUUCUUUCCUUUUCAUCCAUCCUCACAUAGCGGGCGCAACAAAUAAACACAUAUAUCAGCUGUUUUCCUCUGACAAGGCUACCAAUACAUGUACACAAUUUUUCAUUCGCUGCACUUCCUUUAAUUUUUGUAAAUAUUUUGUAUAAACUUCCGAUUUCUCUGUGCGUGUGUUUUAAUUGUAGGUUGAAGUUCUGUGCUGUGCGUGUGCCCUGUGUGAGUGCAUGUGCUAUUUUCUGUGCUAAAUCAUUUGUAGGCUAGCCUUAAGCUUUACUCGUCUAAUUUUGGCGUUUACCUAAAAAUGGCAGCACAAUAAUUAUGUUAAUCUUCGAGCAUACAUUUGCGAUAAAAACCACUCACGAAAAUAACCUUAAUUUUUAAAAUUAAAAAAAGAAUAACGACAUUUAUUAGUGAAAUUAUAAUAUUUAAUGUUUAUUUUCAAUUAAAUAAAGAAUGUGAUAGAAAAAAAAGUACUGUUUGACAUUGUACACCCUCGCCCUGGUUUAAGGGCUGGUUUUAUGACCCCCGGCUAAAAUUUAACCGCAGGCUAGCUCUUAUUUUGGUUUUAUGACUCCCUGUUAACUUCUACCUUCCAAUUAAAGUCCCGGCUAAACUAGCGGUGGAUGAACCGGCCGCUAGCUGCUUAGCCGGAGGCUAAGCGACAGAAAAUAAAAUGGCAAUGUAUCAGGCGAGGUUAGUUGUUGAUAGUGAUGAUGACUAUUUGAGGAAUUCUAUUGAAUAUUUGCAGGAUGCGGUGGAAUAAUUUAUUACUAAAUAUAAAAUGCUUCACCGUAUUCGUCAAAGUUUUAUUAAAAAUUACAUGAAAGUGUAGUCACGCUUUUCGAUUCUCAUCGAGUCGUAUAUUAUUAUUUGACUUUAAUUGAUCACGAAGUACAUAAACUUAAAUGUUCCUGCUUAAGAAUAUGUGUAAAUUAGUGCAUUUUAAAAUUGCAAAACGAGGGUUAUUAUUACCUAUAAAAUGUGUGUUUUUGUGAAAGUUGUAUCUGUGAAUUUUUAUUCGUAAUACAGUGGACAUAUGCCGGGAAUUAAAUGCACUUCAUACGACUUCAGACGUGGUUCUAAUUCAAUGAAUACAAUUGAAUGUGAAAAUAAAUGUUACCCAAUUAUCCCUUCCCUAUCUUACAAACUUUUAGGUACUUAUUAUCUGCCUGCCACGCAAGCGCAAAACGAAAACAGCACUGGAAUUAUUCUGUUUCCCAUAUCCAAGUUUAUCCCUUGAUCCUAUCGGAAUGACCCUUUAUAUCGAUGGCUAAGGGCCGGUUUCACCAAGCAGGUUUAAUUUUAUUACAAAACGAGAUUUCCAAAACUCGAUUUAUAAAUGCCUUCCACAUAAAAACACCCAUUACCUUGCGAAUAUACCCGAAUAUCUGUCGGAGAUACCCGAAUAUGUAUUUUUUUUUCCUCUUGUAGAUUUAGCUUUUGGCCGAGCGUAAUUUAUGGUGGCCGCAUCAACCUAAAAAAAACUUGUUUUUAUUUUUUUGAAAAAUUAGUAAUACCAUGGAAAUUGUCAAAUCGCAUAUAAACAUGAUUAGCAAUGGUGCAGUUUCAGCUGCAAUUAAAGAAAAGCGACAAAGAAGUCAAAAUUUUUUGCCACAUAAGAAGACAGUUUUGUUAGAUCAGGUAACGGAACACUUCUCUGUGAUUAAAAAUCGUCGUACAGAUGCUGUCACACAAUAGCAGAAGGCGAAAUAAUGGGAGAUUAUUGCGGCCAAUCUCAAUUUGAUUUGCAAUCAAUACCACCGAAUGCCAGACCAGCUGAAAUCGUCGUGGGAGAACAUGAAGAAACUGACGAGAAAGAUACAUGCCGACAACCGAAUUGAAACGUUAUGCACAGGUAAGGUAUUUUAUGGCAUUCAUGCUGAUUGUUUUGGUUGCAGUGGCCUUUUUUUUUGGCUAGAUUUUUGUGUGUAACAUGCUGUAACUUGCUACAUCAUACAUGUAGUUUGUAUAUAUAACAAAAUAUAUCGAAACUUUUUAAACUGGUUCAUCCAUUGCUGUUGCAUGGAACCCCUUCCCCCUCAAAACACACUUCUAUAGGCUUUGUGUUGGUUGCAUAGGUCGAUUCCGUCUUGUCAUAACCUACAUUUUGGUAUUAUUUAACUUUGGGAUACCAUCGACUGACCUACGGAUAUGUAACUAUGAAUUGCAAAUUGCUUUGCUCUUGUCAGAGUAUCCUAGCCUAAUGCAACCUAUAUUUGACUGUAGACGGCCAUCAUUUGCUAUUUGUGUUUAGUGGAUAUUUGAGUAAUAUACUAAUCUUUGUAUUAGGCUCACGGUUAAAGUAUUUAUUUUGUUUUUUCUAAUCUAUAAAGCUCAUAAUGUUUUUUCAAGUUCAGCAAGUACAAGUCAUCUUUCUCGUACACGAAAGUGAAAUAUUUCUAGCCCACUUCUACUUGUAGCAAACUUGUAUUGCGAGCAUUGCUGAACUAGUGACUAGUAUAUAAUAUGUCUACUAGUGACAUUAGAAAGCUUAAAUCUUUUAUGUUUUCUUUGUAUGGGAAAUGUAAAUCUUUGACGUUUAAUCUAUUAGCAUUCAAAAACUUUAAAUAAAAAUUUAAAAUUUGUACCUUUUUCACUAACUACAACUGUAUGUAUGCAUCACAAUUAUUGUAGUUAUUCGGGUUAGCAUAAUGCAGUACCUUAGUUGACUAUCUUGUACAGACUAUGAUGAGAGCAUAUGAUGUCAUGUAGGCGUAUUCUUUAUCAUUAGUGAGUUUACUAUUUUUUUAUUUUAUAUUUUUUUUCAGGUGGAGGCCCACCAAAAAAAACAAAAAAACAAUAUUAAAGAUGAUCCACUGUUUGUUCGAAUUUAUGAGCUGAUUAGGCCCACAGUGGAAGGCAUUUGAUACAGGUUCGAUUGCAGCACAUCUGGACAUGUCUUCAGCUGGAAACACUGUGCAUGCAGACUGUGGACAAGAAUCACAAAUAGAAACAUGCUCGAAAAAUGAAGACAUUGGAACUGUUGUUGAUGUUACUUAUGUGGAGUCAAGCGAAGAUGCUCUCCUCAAUGGAAACUGGACACAUUAUUCGCCAGCCAUGCUGAGGAAAACAAAGUUCUCGCUACUGAGGACUCCAGUGAGCACUCCUAAAAGAACGCUGGAGGAACCAAUGCCACAAACAGUGUGUCCAAUGGGAAACGACAAAGCUGAAGAUGAACCAGCUGCAGUGCCCUAUAGAAAUGAAAAUGUUAGUGUAAAUUCUGUACCUGUCAGUGGAACAUCUGUACAUACCCCUGCUUCAUCUUGGACAAGCAGACCUCGUCCAUCCUUGCAUACGCAGAAGAUUGGGGAUAUAAGUGACCUUCAUGCCGCUAAAAUAGAACUCAUUGAGGUGACAAAAAAAACAUUCUGUAGAGGAAUCAAAAAUGCAAAAGGAAUGGUUUGACAUAAAAAUGUUACAGGAACAGGAAAUUUUGAAACAAGAGAAAUUGAAAACUGCCAUUUUAUCAUUCCAAGUGGUAGAAACCGCUCAUAAAAAUUUAACAGCCCCAAAAAAGACUGUAGCUCCUUCCUUGUUGUCGGUUUUGGGGCCCCAUGUAUUGCUCCCACUUUCUCGCUUGUCAGGUGUAUCCCUUGGCUGUCUACCAUGUACCCCAAGAACUUCACUGCUGUGGCUGCAAACAUGCAUUUUGAUUUGUUAAGACGUAAACCGGCUACCUCAAUUUUUCUUAGCACUUGAUGCACCCGUACCCAAUGUUGCUCUUCUGUUGCUCCUGUAAUCAAUAUGUCAUCCAAGAGCACCACUACACCUUGUAUCCUGGACAAUAAGGUUACCAUUAACCGCUGAAAUAUCGCCGGGGCAGCACAUAUUCCAAAAGGCAACCGUUUGACCUUGAACAGUCCUUUCAUCGUGUUCACCGUGAGACGUUCUGCCGUCACCUCAUCCACUGAAACUUGCAAAUAUGUUUCAGCUAGGUCUAACUUCGUGAAAAAUCUCCCACCUGCCAGGUUCGAGAAUGCCUCAUUUGUGGUUGGAAGGUGGUAAUAAUUUUUCUUGCAUACCGUAUUGACGGUACAUUUGUAGUCGCCGCAGAGUCGAACUGAUCAGUCUGUUUUCCGUACCAGCACUAAAGGCGUAGCCCAUGUUGAAUAUGUCACGGGUUCCAGUACCCCUCGUUCCACCAACCGGUCAAUCUCUUCACUGACCUUCUCUGCCAACGCAAAUCCCACUGGCCGGCUUUUACGAAAUAUUGGCUUCGCCCCUACCUCAAGCUCUAUGGUCACUGGUGGUCCGGUAUAACGUCCUAGCUCCAUAUCUCCAAAUACCCCUGGGUAUUCCUGGAUCACUCUUGUAACUUGUUCCUGAUGAAUAUAAUGGAUCCCCUUAACGUUAAUUCCUAAAGGCUCCAACCAGCUACGUCCUAGCAAGCUUGGACCUUCCCCCCUUGCCACCAACAGGAUGCUGUUUUCAUUUGCACUUGUACAUUCAUAUAUCCCAAAACUCCCAACCGUUCUUGCGACCAAGUAUGCAUUACCAUAUUUGCCGCUUGUAGCUCCGGUUGCUCUGGCCACAACUGUUUGUAUGUAUCACUGCUAAUAAUAGUGUGGCCAGCCCCCGUGUCGACUUCCAUCUCCAACUGACGCCCAUCUAACCACACGUCCACUUUGAUCGGUGGGCGGCUUUUCAAGGGGUUACUGUUAACAUUGUAUAAGCUGUAUGUUGCGGUGUCUUCAUCUGAUGACUGCUUGUCUCCAGUUACCCUGUAAUUGUCACUCUCGUUUGUGCUUUACCCUGAUGGCUAUUUAUUUUUGUUAUACAUGACCUUUCUAAAUGCCCUAACUUGGAGCAAAAAUUACACACAGUGCCCUGAUGUCUACAUGAGACCCAACACAUCUCCAGCAUGACGGCUGCCUUUCUGAUGGAUCACUCCUAGUUGGUGUCUUGACAAACUUUUUGUCUCCCGGCGUCUGUUUGUCUACUUUGAUACCACCCAUUGCACCAACCACUUCACUCCCCACUGCUCCCCGGAUAUCACGUUAAUUUCGACUUGCCGUCUCUGCCGCUAGCGCCAAGUCCACUGCCGCCUUGAAUGUGAGCUUGUCCUUAGAUAACAUCGCAUGUUGCACCGUUUUAUCGUGAACCCCGCACACUAGAAGAUCGCGUAGCAUCCUUUCGAGGUCGGUAAAAUUGCAGUGUGCCGCCAGCCGCCGCAAAGCCGCUACAUACUCGGCAAUAUUUUCACCUUGUUGGUCUCGCUUGUGAAACUUGGUCUAGGUUCGAAAUGUGUCGACAGUAAGUCCAAAAUCUCGGAUAUCGCCACCUCGCUCGUAGCCUUUGGAGACACCAGUGACGAAACUAGGUUAUAAAGUUCCGUGCCACACACCGUGAAAAAUAUAGCCUUCUGCUCUUCUUUGUCAGUGACCUUGUUGGCCACCAGGUAAUAGUUCCACCGUUCUGCAUACGUCUUCCAGGCAUCUUUCCCUGGCACAAACUCUCCAAAUGAGCUAAAACGCGCCAUCGGUGUUUACUGUUUACUGUAUUACCAUUCACGCCACCAGCCGGCAACACAUGCACGAAUGGAUCCCAUCCUCGUCGCCACUUUUGUGUACUCUUUAUUUCAUACCGUUACAUACAAUUAGUUACUUAUCAGUCCAUAUAUUUCUCUACAACUCGUGCACGCAAACCUCCAUUACUAACUACAACAACAUCAUUGCCACCAACCUGCCCCGCGGCCCACAAUACACAACAAAAAUAUAGCAGCCAUGUGGAAAUGUCCUGUUUGCAGGUGGCCGAUAAAUUUAACUUUGUGGGAGUUUGAUGAAGUGUUAAUUUAUUGUGAAUGAACUAUAUGGUGAUUUCAAAAUAAAAAUUAGCAAUUGUGAAUAGUAAAUGGAUUACGAACUUAAUAUUUGUUAAUGAAUGGUAAAUGUGUAAUUUGUUAACCUUACAAUUGUUCCUGACAUAAAAUAUUACUUUUGGUAAGUACAGACAACAACUCUAUAUGUUGAAACUAACAGGCCUACAAUGUAACAUUUCAAAAGUAACACAAAAUCCAGAACAUCGUAACAUGAAUGGUAAUAUUUAGGAUACCUUUUGAAGUAGUUGUCAAUCAAAGUACGCCUCUUAGCAUCAUUUCUUGCAUGUCUUGCAUUGUUGUUGACAUUUUGUGCAUCAUUCCCUUAUUCUAAUAAUUCAUCCCACGGUUUGGGUAAAUUAACAUCAGGUCAUCUGGUGGUAAAUCUUCCCCAGCUUGCCGCAAGAGAUUAUGUAUUACAGCUGUUGCCACUAUUAUGGGAAAUGUGUUUUCCAGUUGUAUUUGAAAACCCAAUGCUAAAACGGGGAACCUUCGUUUCCAACACCCAAACAACCUCUCCACAGGAUUUCGUGUUCUAAUCUGAGAUUCGUUGUACAGAUGUUCCUGUGGACUAUCUGGGCUCUCAAGUUGGGUCAUCAUGUAUGAUUUGCAGACAUAUCCUGAAUUUACGAGCAAUACACAAUCAUUGUAUCUGCCAUUUUCAAACAUAGCCUUCCUGUAGCAAUUGCUGAAAAUUGUGCUAUCAUGUGUUGAGCCAGGCCAUCUUGCAACAAUGUCUGUAAACUGAAGUUUUGCGUCGCAUAUUGCUUGAACAUUCAAGGAGAAGUAGCCUUUCCUGUUUCGAAACAUUUCUGCAUUGUCUCCUGCAACGCAGAUAAUUAGGCUAUCAUUACUAUUCAUUAAUGUUGACAUGACAUUUUUUGCUAAAUAACAUAUUUGAUGUAAAAUCAGCUGCACUCAAUCCUUUAACCGACUCAGAUGAAAGUAACUUUGCACAGAAUUUUGUGUGUUUCAUAAUUCAAGUUUGUCGAAUAUGCAUAUUAUGUGUUCUUGCCUACUUGAGUAUUACGAAGAGGUGAAUGUUGAAUGGUACCUAUACGGUGUUUACAUAAAAGUUUGUGUAUGCAUUUUGGUGUGUAAAAUAAUUAUAUUAUAUAUUCUUAUACUCUAUUGUAUUGUAUUCUUGAUGUCUGCAUGUACAUGUGACUUGUUCUAUAUUCCGGAGCACUCGCCUCCAUAUGGGAUCCACAGAUCCAAAGAUAAAUAAAUUAUUAUUAUUAAUAAACUUACCUGGGGUCUGUAAUCACACAUGAGUGCAAUCCAUUGCACUAAUUACUUCGGGAAAGUGUGCAAUAUUAUAGAAGUCCAUCUGAGCAAUGUGAACUUCUUGUGGUGUUUCUGGAAAAUGUAUGAAGUUUGGACGAAGCGAAGCUACAGCACAGCUAACUCUGUGGAUAAUUCUGUGUGCUGUGCUUUUGCUGAAACCAGGAUAAUCUCCAGUACUUAGCUGAUGGCAGCCUGUUGCGUAGUAUCUCAAUGUAGCUAGCAACUGCUGCAUAGGUGAUACAGACAUGUUACUAAAGAGCAAAUGACCACAACCUAUUGCUUCAACUGUAGUUAUUCAUAUUCCAAGUUUUUACAACAAAAAAAAGAAUGUAGGAAAUAUUUUUAAUGCUAAGUUACAUCUAGUAAGGGUAAUGUAGAACAAGGAGGCCAAACAUCUGUAUUAAAUAAUAACUAAAGCCAGCAAAGUGAAGCUAGAAAGUACAGUGUAGGAUAAAACAAGUGUUGAGUUUCAUCAGUCAACAACAGCUAGAGCAUAGGUAAAGCCCACAGACCUUGGCCAACAUAAUUUUUCAAAUAUACAUAGUAAAUUUCAACAGUGGCAGUUUGUAAUAUAAGCCUAUAAAAUACUUUUACUGCACGUUAUUAACACACCAUUAUCAAAACCAUUUCUAAAGAUUAAAAUGAAUGUAACCAAACUUUUUUUUGGUUAGGUUAGGUCUACAUAAAAGGGAAUAGACAUAUAAUGGUUUGAUGUAAUUUUUUCUAACCCUACCUGUCAGAUGGAUAUUCCAUAUGAGCCUCAAUCAUUUCCAGAAGUCUAUGUGCAGACUGUUUCGACAGACGGAAAUGGGUUCUGAAGUCCACUUCAUCAUAGCUUUCAAAAUAAUUACUCCUUUCGCGAAUUGUACGAGGUCGAUGCAAGGGAAUAAAAUCAUCUCCAUCCGAAUCUUCUUCGAAUAUAACAUUGUAAGCUGCUCAAGCCAUUUGUUUACAUACGUUAAGCGUGAUUAGCUGUGCAAACUGGAUGAACUUGGCCAGUUAAUAUAAAAUCUCGCUUUACUCUGGAAAAUCGAGAUUACGCAUGUGGUGAAACGCACAAUCGACUAAACGAGUUUAUAUUGAAACUAAUCGAGAUUAAUUUCCUUAAACUACGUUGGUGAAACCGGCCCUAAGAGCACAAAGGUUGUAUGUCCAAAAAUUUCAAAAUUGAGUUAUGGGUACUGACUGAUUCUCCUUGGUGUACACUUUCUUCUGGACAAAGGUGUUAUGUCCUUUCUUCAACGUAGUGCUUAAAAUUUCUUUUUUUCACUUGCAGUAUGUCCAGUGUAUUACCAAACAUUACGAGGACAAUGGUGGAUGUCCCACAUACUACCUUUUCAUUUAUAAUGAAGGAGUUGUUUACGAGCACAAAAGUAGUACGUACAGUGUGUAAGUUUUUCUGUGUACAAAAGUAGUAUGUCCGAUAUGUAAUACCUUUGUGCUGGAAAGAAUCCAACUGUGUCCAAGGAUGUUAUAUGUCCACUAAUACUACCUUUGUGCUGAAAAUAAAGCAACUGUGUCCGACGCUGCUGUAGACAAAUGUUAUGUCUUCUAAUAAUAUUAUAACCUUUGUGUUCGCAAAACCGGGCAUUGUUUUCUUUUUAUGUAAUUCAUGAAAAUCAUUUUCUUUUUUUAUUAUAAUAAUAUUCUUAACCAAUUAUAGUGAAAUAAUAAAUAAUAUUUCUUGCAGGGAAAAAAAUGUUUUGUUUGACUGUAACUCUUCAUUGGUAUUCCUUCUUCUAUGGAAUAAGCUAACAUUUAUUUGCAUGUGGUGUUUACUCGUGUUGUCUCUUUACUUUCAUAUUCCUGCAGUAGUGAAGUGAUAAUAAAAUGUCUAGAAGUAAAAAGAUGUUGGAAUGGUGUCGUGUGAAUUUAAAGGAAUUAAAUGAAAACCAAAAUACAACAGAAAAUAAUGACACUGUUCAUAAUAUUCCAGGUGAGAAUAAUUUACACAAUAGAAACUAGUAGCGUUGUCUUUGUAGAGGUUAAAUCUUAUUUUCCAAGGCACUGGAAUAUAAAUCCGAAUGAUUCUUGACAACGGGUCUAUGUUAAUUAUUACUUACCUACAUUAUUAAUUAAAAAUAAUAAUCUAAAAUUAAAAAUUGAAAAUUUACAACACUAUUAAGUUUCUGUUUCCUCAUUGUUAUGAAUCAUAGAAUGAUAUUCUCUCCUUAUAAAAUCCUAAUCCUAAUUAAUAACUUAAUUAUACCUUACCAGUUUUUUUUAUAUAUAAUUAUAGUCUUAAAAUUAUUUGAACUUUUCGUGCAAAUUAGUAUACAUUCGAUUUUAGGCUGUUCAUGGCAAGUUCAGCAAAUCUUUACCCGCCCAUCUUAGCAAUUAAACAUUGUUAGACCUUUUUAAGCUUAUUAUUUAAGAACCAAAAUAUAUGCUUUCUAAUUAUUACUUCCAAAACUGCUUAUCUAAAGAUAACACGAAAUGUUCAUUGGUGUUCAGAAAAGUCAUGCAUUUUUUGUCUCUUUUUUUUCUAGAACCUGCAUUGCAUUUUGUGGCAAAAUAAAAUUUUUGCAUCUUGGAUGAAGCAGUUCUUGAGGAGGGAGAAUUCAUAGUUGUGAACACCGCAGAUAAAGGUGGUGCUGUCCUUGUCAAACAGCAGGAGCUAUGCGUGCUUCACAAGCUUUAAAAAGGUUUGAGGUGGAAGUGAGUGAAACUGAACUAAAUUAUGGUGGCGAAGGGCAGGCAAAUCAGGAAGAGCAGGAAGAAGAUGACAACAGAGAUAUCAGUACAGCAGAUCUUGCAGAAGUAAUGCCAGUUAAGGAGUCUGCUAAUAUACUAAAUGGCAAACAUGACCCUUCCUUAGAUGCAGUUUCUGAAUGACCUAAAUAUUGCAGAAAGCGGAAGGGAGAACCAGCAACUUGGAAGGCGAACACACGGAAAAAAAUGUGCAUGUCUGGAAAGUCAUACGUUGAUAGGAACGGAAAGGUUGUGCCAGAAAAACAGCUUCCAGAUUUAAUAUGCAAGUGCAGAUUUAAAUGUUCUGACCACAUCCCUAGUGAAAAACAGCAAACUCUUUUCUCAGAGUAUUGGGCUUUGGAAGAUACUGUCCUUCAGAAAGCUUAUAUUACUUCCCUGGUAGAAGAAAGAAAUGUAGAGCAGUAGUAGACGUAGAAGUAGACGAAGGGAUGUAAUAAGACCAAAGGAAAAGUCUCACUUUUACUACCUCAGAAACAACGAACUACAGAAAGUAAGAGUAAGUUUGAAAUUCUUUUGUUGCAUUUUCCAAAUAAGUUUUAAAGUAGUAAACCAUGAUUUAGCCAAUAAAAAUGCAAGUGGAGCAUUUUCUGGGAAAGAUGGCAGAAAAGGAAGGAAAGCUGUUAAUAGAACAUCAGAGGAAAAUGUUCUUCAUGUAAAGAAGCAUAUAAAUAGUUUCCCUCGCCUAGAAUCACAUUAUUGUCGGGGUGAUUCUAAAAGGCUUUACCUGUCCCCAGAACUAAGUUUUGCUGAGCUCUAUAGACUUUACUGUACAAAUUACUGUCCAAACGAAAACAUAAUACCUGUUAAGAAAAAUGUAUUUCGGUGAAUCUUUCAUUCUUAUGACCCACAAUUAUCAACAUAUGUGCCCAAAAAAGACAGAUGUACUACAUGUAAAAUUUAUUAUGAGGCUUCAGAUAAGACCAAAAUGGCAGAAAAGUGGAUAAUCCAUGACAGAAGGAAAAAAAAAAGCCUUGUCAAUGAAGGAAAGAAAAGGACUGCAACAUUUGACCUUCAAGCGACUCUCUACAUUCCCCAUGCCGGAGACUGUCAGAUUUACUACAGUAGGAAAUUGUUGAUUUUUAAUUUCAUAAUAUUUGACUCAAAUGAUGAUGGUUACUGCUAUGUCUGGGACGAAACUGAAGAGAAAAAAGGGUCCUCAGAAAUUUGGUCCUGUAUUUUGAACUACCUGCAGAUGCUGCCUGAUUCUGUUGACCAUGUGACUUUUUAUUCGGACACAGCUGGUGGACAGAAUCGCAACCAGUUCAUCACAGCAGCCAUGACCACCUCAAGAUAUGUGACAUGAAAUAUUUGGAGUCAGGUCAUUCUUAUCUUGAAGUUGACUCCAUGCAUGCCACAAUUGAGCGUGCCUGGAAGUACAUUAACAUCUAUUCACCCAGAGAAUAUCAAGUUGUAAUGGAAAUGGCCAGAAAAAAAAAGAAGUCCAUACAAAGUAAAAAAUAUGAGUUUCAAAGAUGUAAAAGAUAUGAAGAAUCUAGGAAUGAGGGUUCUAUCAAACACCAAAGAAGAUACCAACGGGAACAAGAUAUAGUGGCUUCGGUUUCAGAAAGAACUUUCAUACUCUGUCCAGUUCAAGUACAAUCUGAGUGAUGAGACCUUCUUAGAGUUUUCUGUUCUUGGGCGUAGGGCAAAGAAAUUUAAAUGGAGCACCAUCACUCUGAGUUCUGAGUACAGUAAGAGGAUACCCAUAUCAGUCCAGAAAAAGCAAGAUCUGUUAAAACUGCUGGAUAAAGGUGUCAUUCCAGAAACAUACGCUGCUUGGUUCAAAGCUCUUCCUUGUGAAAAGGGGAGAAAAGAUGGUGUUCCCUACAACACUAGAGAAAGUGAAUCUGAAGAAGUAUGAACACAACAAAAGACGUAAACAAGAAAAUAGAAGGAAUUUUGUUUUCAGACAGGUGAUGAAAUUUAAUUUUUUUUGUGUAGAUGAGUUUCACAAGCAAUUUCAUUGCAAAUUUCCCCUUAAGUUUAUAUAUUAUGAACUGCAUAGUGAACAAGAGGCAAAAUAAAUAUAAUUAGUUCUCUUUAUGUGAAUUGAAUUCUUCACUGAUGUGUUUUGUAUUAUUAUAACCAUUUUUAUAUUGUAUUUCAUUAGAAUUCUGAAUUGUAGAAAUUAGUUCAACAUAAACAAUUUUGUAAGGAAUAGUUUUGAAGGGACACUAUCAUUCUGUACAAAGGUUUUAUGUCCCACCAUCACAUAAUAAAGACCUUAUUUAAAAAUAAUUUGUAGGGAACUUAGUGAGUCACUGACAAUGUAAACAGUACAUGGAUACUGUCAGAUCUAUGCUAAAACUAAAUGAAUUCAACAUACUGUAUAUAUAAUUCACAACAACAGUAAAGUAAAACUCUUUAGGUGACUUGUCACAAAACAUUCUUUUGCUGUUUCUUCCAUUGUUCUGUUUUUGGACAUAUAACCUUUGUGCUCUUAGCCAUCAAUAUGUUGGUCUUGUUUUACAUUAUACUUGCUGUUUUAAUUUAGAAUGUUGAAAAAUCCUGUACAUAACACAAAAUACCUAACAUAUCACGAUACAAACAAAUUAUGUCAUGUCUUAUAAAAAUGUAUUUCUUUCGUAUACAUUUUACAAUCAUAAUUAUUUACCCAGUGAAUAUGUCUAGGAUCUCUCGACCUACUAAAUUAAAACAGCAAGCAUCCUAUACCACAAACUAAUUCCAUCAGGAUCGGAUUAAUUUGGAUACGUGAUACGAAACUAUUAGUACAAAAAUGAAACCUACACCAGUGAAAUGAAAAUCGACAAGUUUUUUUUGCGAAACAGGGUCUAUAUUAUUUGAUUAUGAAAUAAAUUUAUGAAAGAAAUAAGUGUUCUCUAGCAAAAAUGUCUUAUCCCUAUUUAUUUGUUUGUAUAAAAUUACUUCGUUAGUUUUGGCUUAAUAUAUAUCCUAACAAAAUCAUGAGUUAAAAUACAAGAGUAAAGUUGAAAACACGCAGGUUUGACGUCAAAGUAGUUUUUGGUUAAUUUAAGUAUAUCUGUUGCAAGAUAAAGCUCGCGGCAUAUUUCUUUACUGCAGCUGUAACCAUUACGAUUCACAAUACAAACAAACAGCUGACUAACAUUCUACCAGGAAAAAAAACUCGCAAAUAAAGUUACCAAAUUCUGGUUUAUUUUAUUACCAACACAGCCAUUAUUACAACACAGGCUUCAUCCGGUUCCGGUGAGCCAACUUCAGGCUAAGUAUGGGACAUAAUAUACCCCUCGUUCGUUAACCUGAGGGCUAGCUAACCUUUAGAUUUAGCCGGGGGUCGUAAAACCGACCCUAAGAAGAGGAGGUCUGGAAACAAGCAUCGUGAAAACAUGGCCUAAGUAUUGUUACGAUCGCGCUUGGCUGCAGUGCUUGGCAUCGCUGUGCUCGUUCGGCCUGUCUGCGCGCCCCUUCCACCCGCAUCCUCUCCCUGGUAUCUCAUGUCAUACUGUCUCGCAACAUCCUGACCGUCGCAGCGCGCACCUGCCUCAGAUCGAGUUACUUAAAAGAGGCCGCACUGCAGAAUAAAAGGACUUAGACAUGUUUAUCGGCGCGUUUUGUGGGAACCCGAUGCUUGUUGAGUUUAUCGGCGUUCUUUGAGCAGCCGCCGCGUCCUUCGAGGACUCACGAGGCGUUUCUGGGCAUUUCGACGGCGAAGGUCGCGCGAUAUCUCGGAGACAUGCCCGAUUGUUCUGGACGGGAACCCAAGGGCUAUAUAAGGAGGUUGGGCCGACCUUCAGGAGGAGUUCAGUGGGGAGUUCUCCCGCAGCGGAGUUUCCGGGCGAUAGUGCCGCGGGUGCGGCAGAGUGGCGAAGUCCUUGGACGAAGGUUCCAGGGCAGAGAGUCUGAGUGAGUGAGUGGAGUCGGGAGUUCUCCUGCAGCGGAGUUUCCGGGCGAUAGUGCCGCGGGUGCGGCAGAGUGGCGAAGUCCUUGGACGAAGGUUCCAGGGCAGGGAGAGUGAGUUCAGUGGAGUCGGGAGUUUCCGGGCGAUAGAGUCGCGGGCGCGGCGGAGUCCCGAGUGAAGUUGCGAGCGAGUCGUCGUGUGGGAUCUCGGCGAAAGGUGUGACGGCGGCGGCGACCCACGAGGGGUGCUGCGGCGAGAGUUGCGCCAGAGGUGCGGCCCAGCGAGGUGUGUGGAACGAGAGACUGGAGAAUAGACAUUUCUUUAAGUGUAGUUAAUUAUUUGCCAUCUUAGAAGAUUAAUUGUAAGUGACAAGUAGUGGUAAUAAAUAAAACUGUGUGUGUGAAAUAAAAUCUAUUAAUUGGGCUAUCCUUUACGAACCCGCAGGGAAAUCGUAACAUUUUGGUGUCAGAAGUGGGAUAGCCCUAAUUAAUAGUUUUAGGAUUCAGUUACAUUAUUAGAAUAAAAGUUGAGGAUAGAAUUUAGUUUUUGAGAAUAUAGUUAGUGUUUAGAACUUUAGUGAAUUUGGAUUUUUCUAGAGUUUGAGUAUACUGUAGUCAGUGUUAGUUUUGAAUGUAAUAGAGUUAUUGUUAGUUUAAUUAGAAGGUUCGGCUAGGUCAUUUAAAAUUAAGAUCAGUAUUAGAAAAAAAAUAUCUAGGUUGUUUAAUUAGUAAAUCCUUUAGAGAGAAAUGGCUGCUGAAGAGUUAAGUGUAGAAGAUAUCGGGAAGAUAAUGGUUGCCCUAGAAGAGAUCAAUAAUAAAAUGGAAAAAAUGGUGGCCAGUGUGAAGAAAUAUAACAAAGAAAUGUUAGCGAGUAUGAAGAACUUUACAGAAAAAAUGAAGAGUGAAAGGAAGGAGAGUAAGAACCACCAUGAAGAAAAGAAGAGUGAGUCAAAUAAUAGCCUAGAGGAAAUAAAGAAGGGUCAGGAGGAA